rnacentral:rRNA from 1 species
UGGGGAAUAUUGCGCAAUGGGCGAAAGCCUGAUGCAGCAACGCCGCGUGAGGGACGACGGCCUUCGGGUUGUAAACCUCUUUUAGCAAGGAAGAAGCGAAAGUGACGGUACUUGCAGAAAAAGCGCCGGCUAACUACGUGCCAGCAGCCGCGGUAAUACGUAGGGCGCAAGCGUUAUCCGGAAUUAUUGGGCGUAAAGAGCUCGUAGGCGGUUUGUCGCGUCUGCUGUGAAAACCCGAGGCUCAACCUCGGGCCUGCAGUGGGUACGGGCAGACUAGAGUGCGGUAGGGGAGAUUGGAACUCCUGGUGUAGCGGUGGAAUGCGCAGAUAUCAGGAAGAACACCGAUGGCGAAGGCAGAUCUCUGGGCCGUAACUGACGCUGAGGAGCGAAAGGGUGGGGAGCAAACAGGCUUAGAUACCCUGGUAGUCCACCCGUAAACGUUGGGAACUAGUUGUGGGGUCCAUUCCACGGAUUCCGUGACGCAGCUAACGCAUUAAGUUCCCCGCCUGGGGAGUACGGCCGCAAGGCUAAAACU